GUUUUAUUGAUAACAAAAGAGCGUUGGUCAUAUGUCAAAUGUGUACCUCCUUGGAAUGGAUAUAUUGUUAUUAAUCCUUGUGCUAACCCUCGUGCUUCGAGGAUGUAUUGGUUGUUUCUUCUCUCUUGUGCUUUAAGGUUGUAGAUUUUCGAGGACGAAUCUUCUUCAAGAAGGAGAUGAUACAAUCCAAAUUGCCUCUAGACCUUUGGAUGGAAUGCUCAUGAAGUUAGAGGUGCUUGACGACUCCUUAGUGCUACCAAAAUGAGACAAGUGCAACUAGCUCAAGACUAUUCGCCCGUAGCCAAGCCCCCAGUUACAAAAACUCCAAGCCAUGUUCAUGCAAAUGGCCGUGUGCGAGUGUGUAAUUAAUCCAUCUAAGAGAUUCCAUGUUUUGAAGUAUGAAGAGGGACUUUGAAGUGUAAGUUUAUUAUACUCCAAAGCCGCCCAUGACCAAGGCUAGAAGGGUCAUUUCUCUUUCAUUUUAUGGUGUACUAUAUAUAGACAAUAUUAGGGUUAUUUCUCUUACUUAGUUCAUUCAUGAUAUUUCACAACAAGUCUUGUAAUAUUGAAUGAGAGAGUGGAAACCCAAAACUAGUACAACAAAGUAUAGCAACACUUGCUAAAAACUUAAGGUCUUGAGGUUCAUGAGUUCCUCUUGAUCUAAGUAAGAACUUAGUGUUAAUAUCUUUUAGUCUUAGGGUCCUAAUCUUCAUGUUAGGGUUCUU